UUGAGCUGUAUGCAGAGAAAUUUGCUUGUACAGUUCUUAGGGGAUGGAGAGAUAGAAAUAUCUUUUCGCUACCCGAC
rnacentral:ncRNA from 1 species